UAGAGGCGGCGAGUCUUGGAGCCGGGCGACUGGAAGGGCAGAGACGCUAGGACCGCCCGGUGCGCCAACUGGCGGGCCUUCUCUGUGGGUCCCCGGGCCCAGGUUCGUUGUGGGGCAAGAAUGAUGAGACACACGCAGACCGCUCACCCCAGCGUCCCACCGCAAUCAGAGCUCAGGAUCGGGCACUGUUAGUGUCAGCCCGUGGGGAGGCUCUCUGGGAAGUAAAGGCAGCUGAUGUGCUCGUCCCCCCCAAAAAAAGAAGCAGAAAGAAGAAAUGACGCCCAGGACAGUGCCUGGCACAAAACCGACUGCAAGGAAAAUUAACUAGGAGGGUAGAUGUUUAUUCAGCUUCUGGCCCAGCGCUGCCUGCCUCUUCCCCUCCCGUUCUCCAGUAUGAUCCACGCCCUGGAAUUUCUGCCAGCCCUUAUGAGAGGGAUGCUCCAACUCUGCAGGGGGCAAACCUAAAUGCGACUACCACCUAGAAAACCGAGGCCACAGUCCUCUCCUACCCACUCCACAUUACCUACAGAUAAACUGCAGCCUGAGUCAAAACAUCCAGGGGACAGCACCUGCCCCCCAUGGAUGUUUUUGAAACUACAGGUUCCUGUGCAGAGAAUGUAACAUAGUAGAAUGAAAUCUGGAAUUGGCAGUUUAAAAAAAAAAAAAAAAAAAAGCACAUGGGAAAAAAUGAGAGACCAGCACAUGGCAGAGGUAACUAUUUUUAAAUUUUUGUUUUGCUUUUACUUUGUGUAUCUGUAUACUGAGUUGCAUGUAAAAUGUGUUUCUUACAA